rnacentral:rRNA from 1 species
UUCCUACGGGGGGCAGCAGUGAGGAAUAUUGGUCAAUGGGCGCAAGCCUGAACCAGCCAAGUCGCGUGAGGGAAGACGGCCCUACGGGUUGUAAACCUCUUUUGCCGGGGAGCAAGCCUGAGCACGUGUGCCCAGGCGGAGAGUACCCGGAGAAAAAGCAUCGGCUAACUCCGUGCCAGCAGCCGCGGUAAUACGGAGGAUGCGAGCGUUAUCCGGAUUUAUUGGGUUUAAAGGGUGCGUAGGCGGAAGGUUAAGUCAGCGGUCAAAUGUCGGUGCUCAACACCGGCCUGCCGUUGAAACUGGUC